GACGGGGGGGGCAAGCGUUGUUCGGAAUUACUGGGCGUAAAGGGCUCGUAGGCGGCCAACUAAGUCAGACGUGAAAUCCCUCGGCUUAACCGGGGAACUGCGUCUGAUACUGGAUGGCUUGAGUUUGGGAGAGGGAUGCGGAAUUCCAGGUGUAGCGGUGAAAUGCGUAGAUAUCUGGAGGAACACCGGUGGCGAAGGCGGCAUCCUGGACCAACACUGACGCUGAGUGAGCGAAAGCCAGGGGAGCAAAACGGGG
rnacentral:rRNA from 1 species